UACAGAGGGUGCUAGCGUUAAUCGGAUUUACUGGGCGUAAAGCGUGUGUAGGCGGUUUGUUAAGUCGGGUGUGAAAUCCCUGGGCUCAACCUGGGAAUUGCAUUCGAUACUGGCAAGCUAGAGUACGGUAGAGGGCGGCGGAAUUCCGGGUGUAGCGGUGAAAUGCGCAGAGAUCAGGAGGAACACCCGUAGCGAAGGCGGCACUCUGGGCCGAUACUGACACUGAGGAGCGAAAGCGUGGGGAGCGAACAGG
rnacentral:rRNA from 1 species